rnacentral:rRNA from 1 species
GACGAACGCUGGCGGCGUGCUUAACACAUGCAAGUCGAGCGGUAAGGCCCUGCUUUUGUGGGAUGCUCGAGUGGCGAACGGGUGUGUAUCACGUGUGUGACAUGCCCUUGUCUUUGGGAUACCUUCUGGAAAAUGGGGUUAAUAUCGGAUAGGACCACCUGCUGCAUGGUGGGGGUGGGUAAGUUACGGCGGUUGGGGAUGGACUCGCGGCUUAUCAGCUUGUUGGUGGGGUAGUGGCGUACAAAGGCGCUGACGGGUAGCCGGCCUGCGAGUGUGACCGGCCACAUUGGGACUGAGAUACGGGCCAGACUCCUACGUGAGGCAGCAGUGGGGAAUAUAGCACAAUGGGCGGAAGCCGGAUGCAGCAACUCCGCGUGCGGGAUGACUGCCUUCAGGUUGGAAACCUCUUGCGCCUGGGACGAAGCGUGAGUGACGGUAAUGAGUAAGAAAGCAACGGCUAACUACGUG